CGAAGGGGCUAGCGUUGCUCGGAAUUACUGGACGUAAAGGGCGCGUAGGCGGCACUGUUAGUCAGGCGUGAAAGUCCUGGGCUCAACCUGGGAACUGCGCUUGAUACGGCAGAGCUAGAGGAUGGAAGAGGCUCGCGGAAUUCCCAGUGUAGAGGUGAAAUUCGUAGAUAUUGGGAAGAACACCGGUGGCGAAGGCGGCGAGCUGGUCCAUUACUGACGCUGAGGCGCGACAGCGUGGGAGCAAACAGGAUU
rnacentral:rRNA from 1 species